rnacentral:tRNA from 1 species
GAAAGUAUAGCUCAGUGGUAGAGUGUUUGCUUAGCAUGCACGAGGUCCUGGGUUCAAUCCCCAGUACCUCUA